UUUGAUGUGAUACGGCCACCCAUUGGGCAGG
rnacentral:piRNA from 1 species